GAACGCAUAUUGCACCUCUCCGGAGGUAUGCCUGUUUGAGAAUCUAUAGUAUCUUUUCCCCAGUUUUGGGGGAGAUUUGGGGCGUCUCUUUUGGGUGCCCUUAAAGCUAUAGCUUGACACUGGACGAGUGCGAGAGCGUAUGUAUUUGAAACUCUUUGAGUGCCCUAUACGAAACUCUGGCGCGAGCUCGGACUGGGCCAAGUUCACCACGGAGGUUUGAAAAAGAACCCGAACCAUGGUCUCAAAUCAGGUAGGAGGACCCGCUGAACUUAA
rnacentral:misc_RNA from 1 species